rnacentral:rRNA from 1 species
AGCAGCCGCGGUAAUUCCAGCUCCAAUAGCGUAUAUUAAAGUUGCUGCAGUUAAAAAGCUCGUAGUUGAAUUUCGGGACCAUCAUGUCGGUCGUGCCUCGGUACGUACUGGCAUUGUUGGUUUCUCCCUUCUGACGAACCAUGAUGUCAUUUAUUUGGUGUUGUGGGGAAUCAGGACUGUUACUUUGAAAAAUUAGAGUGUUUAAAGCAGGCUCACGCUUGAAUACAUUAGCAUGGAAUAAUGAAAUAGGACGUUUGAUUCUAUUUUGUUGGUUUCUAGGAUCGACGUAAUGAUUAAUAGGGAUAGUUGGGGGCAUUAGUAUUCAAUUGUCAGAGGUGAAAUUCUUGGAUUUAUUGAAGACUAACUACUGCGAAAGCAUUUGCCAAGGAUGUUUUCAUUAAUCAAGAACGAAAGUUAGGGGAUCGAAGACGAUCAGAUACCGUCGUAGUCUUAACCAUAAACUAUGCCGACUAGGGAUCGGAUGAUGUUAAUUUUUAAUG